rnacentral:rRNA from 1 species
GACGAACGCUGGCGGCGUGCUUAACACAUGCAAGUCGAACGGAAAGGCCCUGCUUGCAGGGUGCUCGAGUGGCGAACGGGUGAGUAACACGUGGGUGAUCUGCCCCUUACUUUGGGAUAAGCCUGGGAAACUGGGUCUAAUACUGGAUAGGACCAUGCUGUAGGUGGUGUGGUGGAAAGAUUAGUUUCGGUAAGGGAUGAGCUCGCGGCCUAUCAGCUUGUUGGUGGGGUAAUGGCCUACCAAGGCGUCGACGGGUAGCCGGCCUGAGAGGGUGGACGGCCACAUUGGGACUGAGAUACGGCCCAGACUCCUACGGGAGGCAGCAAUGGGGAAUAUUGCACAAUGGGCGCAAGCCUGAUGCAGCGACGCCGCGUGGGGGAUGACGGCCUUCGGGUUGUAAACUCCUUUCAGCCAUGACGAAGCCCUUGUGGUGACGGUAGUGGUAGAAGAAGCACCGGCUAACUAUGUG